rnacentral:lncRNA from 1 species
UUUAUUUCCCAAGUUCACACCAGUACCAAGUAGCAGCCAAAUAAGCAGCAGCAAGCUCCUAGUCCAAACGGCUAAGGGGUAAGAUAAAUAUCGUGAACUUCGAACUAACAUCACGUCUGAUGUAGCAACAAAACCAUAAGAACUACUCAUUCUUAUGGUAUUUCCGCGACCAAGGAUAGCAGAGAAACACCGUUGCUCACUCUCAGCAUGCCAUCAAAAGGAGGAUAUACCUUUCGAACGAGCUAAUAGCAUUUGUGUACUAUAAGAUAUCAAGGUAGAAGAAGCUUCUUAGAACUGGAUAUCAUGUGUGUCUCCACUAAUAAAUAUCUCCACAGCAGCAAAGACAACUGUAUGGCUCUGUUCUUCAAAGCCU